GGGUCUUCGGACCCUUGGUAUAUAUCAUGGAGAGUUUGAUCCUGGCUCAGAACGAACGCUGGCGGCGUGUCUUAAGCAUGCAAGUUGAGCGGCAAGGGGUAGCAAUACCCCCUAGAGCGGCGGACUGGUGAGUAACGCGUGGGUGAUCUGCCCUUGGGAUGGGGAUAGCCUCUAGAAAUAGAGGGUAAUACCGAAUACGUUCGCUAAACCACGGUUUAGCGAGGAAAAGCGCUUCGGCGCUGCCCGAGGAUGAGCCCGCGUCCCAUUAGCUAGUUGGUGAGGUAAGAGCCCACCAAGGCGAUGAUGGGUAGGCGGCCUGAGAGGGUGUACGCCCACACUGGGACUGAGAUACGGCCCAGACUCCUACGGGAGGCAGCAGCUAAGAAUAUUCCGCAAUGGACGAAAGUCUGACGGAGCGACGCCGCGUGGAUGAUGAAGGCCGAAAGGUUGUAAAGUCCUUUUGCUGGGGAAGAAUAACCAUGGGAGGGAAUGCCCGUGGGAUGACAUGAACCGGCGAAUAAGCCCCGGCUAACUACGUGCCAGCAGCCGCGGUAACACGUAGGGGGCGAGCGUUGUUCGGAAUUACUGGGCGUAAAGGGCAUGUAGGCGGCUCUGUAAGCCCGGCGUGAAAGUCACCGGCUCAACCGGUGGAUUGCGUCGGGAACUGCGGGGCUUGAAUCAUGGAGAGGGAGCUAGAAUUCCAGGUGUAGGGGUGAAAUCUGUAGAGAUCUGGAAGAAUACCAGUGGCGAAGGCGAGCUCCUGGCCAAUGAUUGACGCUGAGGUGCGAAAGUGUGGGGAUCAAACAGGAUUAGAUACCCUGGUAGUCCACACUGUAAACGAUGUGCACUAGGUGCUGGGGCGGAUGCUUCAGUGCCGGAGCUAACGCGGUAAGUGCACCGCCUGGGGAGUAUGCUCGCAAGGGUGAAACUCAAAGGAAUUGACGGGGGCCCGCACAAGCGGUGGAGCAUGUGGUUUAAUUCGAUGGUACGCGAGGAACCUUACCUGGGUUUGACAUACGGAGGAAUGCGGCAGCGAUGUCGCAGCGGAGCAUGACGCCUCCGGACAGGUGCUCCAUGCCUGUCGUCAGCUCGUGCCGUGAGGUGUUGGGUUAAGGCCCGCAACGAGCGCAACCCCUACUGCCAGUUACCAACACGUUAAGGUGGGGACUCUGGCGGAACUGCC
rnacentral:rRNA from 1 species